GGGUCCUGCUUCCGCUAGCGGUGGUUCCGGAGGGCAGGGGUGUGACCACCGAGAAGGUUUUAAAAGUGAAAUCAGAGGCAGGCACUCCGAGGUUCCGAACCCCAGAAUCCUUACGGUGGCUUCAGCCUCUGCCUGCCCUCCAGGCUAGUUUGCUCAGGCUGGCCCUCCCGCGCCCGGCCUCCUGCCUCCCUGUCCUGGGACCAGGUUUCUCUGUGCUCUGUUGCCAUUGGGAGCAGAGAGUUCUUUGUGGCGUGCGUUCUGUGCAUUGUAGGAUGGGUAACGGCAUCCCUUGCCUCUACUGCACUAGAUGCCCGUGCCACCCCGCUCCCCAGUUGUGAUAACCAAAUCUGUCUCCAGACGUUCCCAAAUGACCUGCGGUGGAGCAAAGUCGCCUGCAUUGAGAACCACCGCCUGAGAACAAGUUCAGAGCCUUGUUUCCUUGUCGCGUGGCUGGCCUCCUGUUUUCCUUCAGCCCUCAACUGGAGUGGUGACUCCUUCUUGUACGUGGUCCCCACGAUGAUGAGCUCCAUGGUGGCAGGGUUCUUGGGUCUCUUGUUCCUCACCAUGCCCUCCAGCACCUACACCAGGGUGGGACAUUACACCGGAGUGGAGCGGAAGAGUGUUCUCCAGAAACGGCCUCCAGCAUGGCUUCAGAAAUUGGGACCCAGGGCUGUCAUAAUUCGGUUCAUGUGAGACCAUUUCUUCUUCUUCCGCCACCCUUAACUCCAGCUAACAUCAGGAUGGAGCAAUUACCUAGGAAGUGGGCUUGCUGGUAGGUCAUCUGGAUGGUACCGGAAGAAUGUCUUAUGUUCACCUAAUUUUUUUUGAGACUCUCGUGAUGUCCUACAGCAUGUAUUAGUAUCCUACUUUCGCUAGUGGAAAAAGCAAACGCCUCAAGAUUCUGGUCUAGGAUCACACAUCUCGUAGGCAUUAGAAUUCAGACUUGAGUAAAAGGCUCAAAACUAAUUCCUAGUCCAGUGCUUCUUCUACACCCCAGCUGGUACAUAAGUCCAAAACUAUGAGUGUCUGUUUUAAGACUGACGGCAUGAUACGCUCAGGCAAAGAGCAGAGUAACAUUAAACAUGGCAUGAAAAUAAAGCCAUUCAACUUGAACCAUGUGGUGACUUAGUGGUGAAGCUCUGCCCAGAACAGAUGUGCCAUUUUGGAUGACAGCAAGCUAACCCAGUUGGGUUGUCUUGUUUAAGAAGGAUAAAGCCAGGUGAAAGGGGGUUGGAGGUGGCAGUUAACAGAGCUUAGGAUGUGCACCCAGGACUCGUGAGCACUGGCUGCUGGUCCACGGGAGGACUGCUGUGCACCCCAAUCUGUGUACCCAGAGGCUGCAAAACAAAUCCAGCGGGCAGAAAUGUUUUCAUUUGGUUGCGAUGUUUAAAAGAAGUGAACCAAGAGCAUAUAAUUCAAGAUUCCAUUUCUAGGAAAUGUCCAGAGUAGGCAACUCUAUAGGGACAGAACGCAGACUGGGCGUGAUUGCCAGUGUUGGGGCAAAGGGAAGAUUGGGGAGUGACCGCUAAAAGGUGUGGCCUUUCUUUUUGUAGUAAUGAAAUGUUCUGAAGUCACGGUGAUAGUUGCACAACUCUGUGAAUAUACUAAAAACCACUGAAUUGUACUCUUUAAAUGGAUGAACUGUAUGGUAUGUGAAUUACAUUUCAAUAAUGCUGUUACCAAAAAAAAAAAAAAAAGUGAGCCAACAGUUAAACAUUGGGAGGUUUCACAUAUAAAUUUGGAUGCCCUGCUGCUCUUGAAAAAACAGACAGGAGCCCUGGCCACACUGGGACGUGUGGCUGCCUGUGACACUAGUGACCACCUCCCGCCCCUGCUUGAACCACGCCUCUGGUGUUUGUGC